rnacentral:rRNA from 1 species
UAGCCAUGCAUGUCUCAGAAUAAGCUUCUUUAUGGCAAAUCUGCGAAUGGCUCAUUAAAACAGUUAUAUUCUACCCGGAGAUGACUCUUAUACGGAUAACUGUGCUAAUUGUAGAGCUAAUACGUGCGUGAAAGCCCGACUUCUCGGAAGGGCUGUAUUUAUUAGAUACAGAACCAAUCCUGGAAACAGGACCUUGGAUGAUUCAUAAUAAACGAACGGAGCGUAUGGCUUGUGCCGGCGCUAUUCCGGUCGAGUUUCUGACCUAUCAGCUUUCGAUGGUGGGGUCUUGGCCCACCAUGGCUUUGACGGGUAACGGAGAAUUAGGGUUCGAUUCCGGAGAGGGAGCCCGAGAAACGGCUACCACAUCUAAGGAAGGCAGCAGGCGCGCAAAUUACCCAAUCCCGACUCGGGGAGGUAGUGACAAGAAAUAACGAUACGGGGUCUUAAUAGGUCUCGCAAUUGGAAUGAGUACAAUUUAAAUCCUUUAACGAGGAUCAAUUGGAGGGCAAGUCUGGUGCCAGCAGCCGCGGUAAUUCCAGCUCCAAUAGCGUAUAUUAAAGUUGUUGCAGUUAAAAAGCUCGUAGUUGGAUUUCGGAGUGGGCCAGUUGGUCCGCCGCAAGGUGUGUUACUGACUGGUUUGCUCUUCUUCGCAAAGACUGCGUGUGCUCUUGAGUGAGUGUGCGUAGAAUUUACGACGUUUACUUUGAAAAAAUUAGAGUGUUCAAAGCAGGCUAUUGCUUGAAUACAUGAGCAUGGAAUAAUGGAAUAGGACUUUGGUUCUAUUUUGUUGGUUGUUCGAGAACCGAAGUAAUGAUUGAUAGGGACAGUUGGGGGCGUCAGUAUUCUGAAGCGAGAGGUGAAAUUCUUGGACCUUCGGAAGACUAACAACUGCGAAAGCAUUCGCCUAGGAUGUUCUCUUUAAUCAAGAACGAAAGUUGGGGGAUCGAAGACGAUCAGAUACCGUCGUAGUCUCAACUAUAAACUAUGCCAGCUAGGGAUUGGUGGACGUUUAUCUACGACUCCAUCAGCACCUUAUGAGAAAUCAAAGCAUUUGGGUUCCGGGGGGAGUAUGGUCGCAAGGCUGAAACUUAAAGGAAUUGACGGGAGGGCACCACCAGGAGUGGAGCCUGUGGCUUAAUUUGACUCAACACGGGAAAACUUACCAGGUCCGGACAUAGUAAGGAUUGACAGAUUGAUAGCUCUUUCUUGAUUCUAUGGGUGGUGGUGCAUGGCCGUUCUUAGUUGGUGGAGUGAUUUGUCUGGUUAAUUCCGUUAACGAACGAGACCCCAGCCUGCUAAAUAGUUUGCUCGAUGUUUCAUCGGUGCCAACUUCUUAGAGGGACUAUUCUGUGUAUAACGAAUGGAAGUUUGGGGCAAUAACAGGUCUGUGAUGCCCUUAGAUGUUCUGGGCCGCACACGGGCUACACUGCGAGGUUCAACAAGCUUCAUACCCUGGUCCGAUAGGACUGGGCAAUCUUUUGAACUCCUCGCGUGAUAGGGAUAGACUAUUGCAAUUGUUAGUCUUCAACGAGGAAUUCCUAGUAAACGCGAGUCAUCAACUCGCAUUGAUUACGUCCCUGCCCUUUGUACACACCGCCCGUCGCUCCUACCGAUUGGAUGAAUCGAUGAGCCUUUCGGAGAGCGGUCGUGAAACCACUUCGGUGGUGGAACGGUUGCCCAAAGUCAUGCAAAUCUGUCAUCUAGAGAAGAGAAGUC